CACGUAGGGCGCGAGCGUUGUCCGGAAUUACUGGGCGUAAAGCGCCUGUAGGCGGUUUGGUAAGUCGGAUGUGAAAGCCCCGGGCUCAACCCGGGAAGUGCACUCGAUACUGCCAAGCUAGAGUAUCGGAGAGGUUGGUGAAAUUCUCGGUGUAGAGGUGAAAUUCGUAGAUAUCGAGAGGAACACCUAUGGCGAAGGCAGCUCUCUGGGACGGUACUGACGCUGAGACGCGAAAGCGUGGGGAGCGAACAGG
rnacentral:rRNA from 1 species